UACAGAGGGUGCUAGCGUUGUUCGGAAUCAUUGGGCGUAAAGGGCGUGUAGGCGGUUUGUUAAGUCAUGUGUGAAAUCCCUCGGCUCAACCGGGGAAGGACGCAUGAAACUGGCAAGCUAGAGUACCAAAGAGGGGGGUGGAAUUCCCGGUGUAGCGGUGAAAUGCGUAGAUAUCAGGAGGAACACCGGUGGCGAAGGCGGGUCUCUGGGCAGUAACUGACGCUGAGGAGCGAAAGCGUGGGGAGCGAACAGG
rnacentral:rRNA from 1 species